AGAGACAGCAGUAGCCGCGGGAAUACGUAGGGUGCGAGCGUUAAUCGGAAUUACUGGGCGUAAAGCGUGCGCAGGCGGUUCGUUAAGACAGAUGUGAAAUCCCCGGGCUUAACCUGGGAACUGCAUUUGUGACUGACGGGCUAGAGUAUGGCAGAGGGGGGUAGAAUUCCACGUGUAGCAGUGAAAUGCGUAGAGAUGUGGAGGAAUACCGAUGGCGAAGGCAGCCCCCUGGGCCAAUACUGACGCUCAUGCACGAAAGCGUGGGGAGUAAACAGGAUUAGAUACCCGGGUAGUCCCUGUCUCUUAUAC
rnacentral:rRNA from 1 species